rnacentral:rRNA from 1 species
CUACACGAAGCUGGAAUCGCUAGUAAUCGCGAAUCAGAAUGUCGCGGUGAAUACGUUCCCGGGUCUUGUACACACCGCCCGUCACACCAUGGGAGUCGGGAAUGCCCGAAGUCAGUGACCCAACCUAUUGGAGGGAGCUGCCGAAGGCAGGUCUGAUAACUGGGGUGAAGUCGUAACAAGGUAGC